CUUGCACCCAAAAUAAUUUAGAAAUUUAUUAUACGGGAUUUUUCACGUAAACUAAGCUUUUGUAGCAUCCCAUCGAUUCUACGUUUGCUUUGUAGUAACUACUGUACUUCCAUAUUACUGGCACAUGAAUUUCACGUAAAGUCUAGGUGAAUGGGCUUGAAACCUUUUUUUGCAAUUUUCUCAAGCAUGUUGUGGUAUAUUCCUAUUGGAAAAGGGAAUUUUUGUCAUUUAGCUAACUUGAUUUUGUUUGGAUGCGGCAGUUCAAGAGGAAUUAAGCGUCACAAGACAAGCAGUACACCACACAGGAUGUUCUGCGGGUCCCAAACACGAAAAAUACAAAUCCGAGCCUCGGGAUCAAAAUGGGAAUUUCGAAGAAAGCUUCAAGAGACCCGUUGGGAAGCCGAAGAAAGGCCGUGAGAAGAAGCCUAAGCACCAAAGUUUGCAUCUACUGAUCCUAACAAGGAUUCGACAAACCAACUCGAUGUAAAGUUCCGGAAAUAUGUUUUCAAUCAAAUAAUGAAUUAAGUGUAGUGACAGUGUGAAGAAUUUUGAAGAAAAUAAAUUUAAAUUUUGAUGGAAUUCAAUUUGUUUUCAUUUUAUUGCCAGAAGUAGAAACGAAAAAAUAGUAGAAAGGAUCCAAAUAUCAUUGCGGUACUAAACACAUUUCAAGUAGCUUUCAUCUUCAUAACACGUUGAUCGCAUUAAAAAUUCACGUAAAUUGAACGUGAUCUCCAUAGAACAAAAUUCCUAUUAGGGGAGCGUUUACUUAUUUUAUUCGUACAAAUUACGUGAAAAUCAAUUGGAUAAAAAUUAUGUAGUUUUUCACGUAGCAGCGACGUGCAGAUUAUUUUGGGUGUGGUUAUCCUGAAAUAACGGCUUCCGUCUCUGCUGGGUGUAAGAAGUCUUUUUGAUUUCUACAAAUUUUCUUUCCGGGGUCAUAUUUCCGUAUAGUCACGUAUAGUGAAGUGUGAAGUUAAUUUAACCUGGCGAUAGAAUGAAAUUUUGAACACCGAAUUAGAAGCACUUAUAAAAAUAAAUAAAUGACAUUAUAACCUAAUAAAAAGCCAAUAAAGAUAAAGAUAAUAAUAAUGCAAAAAAAUUAACAUUAACGGUGAUGAUUAUAGUAAUUACCUUACAUACUAGUAUUAAUGCAUGUUUUAAGCCACCACCCGCCUCCAGUGAAUUGUGUCCUGGAUGGCUAUCAUAUCACAGAUGGGAAUCAGAUGUGUUUUUACCUUAAAAUAGUAUGUAAUUUUGAAA